UUGUCAGUUUUGCUGGUCUGUGAACAAGCUGGCCCAGGAGCUGACCAAGGCGUGGACUGUCCAAAGGACCUCAAGCGUGGCUGGUGGCUGGCAGUUAACGCUUCGAGAGAGAACCAGGAUGGCAAGCUUCUUCUGGGCUCUGUUACAGGCAUGCAUUCGCUGUGAGUCUGGACUAAGGCUGGGAGUCAGAUCCGUGCCUGAAAUGUUCUAAGCCGACUUACUGAAAAUCGCCCGAUCACCCACGUCAACUCACUGGAUCUACCUGGCAGAGACAGAUGCUAUCAAGAUCCCUUUGGGAAAAAGUGAAGGGAUGUGUUUCUGUCUCCAUUUGUGGCCCCCAGGUGAUAGGUCGCGCCACGCACGGACAUGACUUACAGCCUGACUUACUGAAAAGUAGACUACCCUGUGUGUGGCUUUGGUGAAUGGAACACUUGGAUGUGCACACACACACCCCGAGGCUGCUAGACACCCUGGCGGCCUCCUGGCUUGCCAGACUCUGCACUGGACUGCGAACGUCAUGAGGACCGGGACUAGGGCCAUCUAGUUCAGUGCUGUCUCCUCAGCCCUAAAGCAUGCCUGGGCACAGCUGGCACGAGUCCGUAGUUGUGAAUAAAUGAUUCGCUGGGUGA